UACAGUAAUUGCAAUUUUAAUGACGAAUUUCUCUGUAAUGACCGAAUCAUGAAAUCGUCUUAGGAUGAUAAAACGUCAAAAAUGCUAUCAAAAAUGCGCGAGAGCUGGAAAACGCCGGGAGCAUUGCGAAAGAAUUAGUAAUUGUAAAGGCAUAUAAGGAUUUAAGAUCAAAUCAAAGAAGCAAAUGUCAAAUGAGUCGAUGCAGGAACCCUCCAGAACAUCAUGUCCUA